GCUUAGCUAAUCAAUGGUUGAGCCAUGAUCUAAAGCCUAUGCUAUUUGUAACACAUUUUUGUGCUUCUGAAAGUUUUCCACCUAAGUAUCCUUAAGGUAGAGGAUUAUGAAAUAAACUCUACGUAGGAUCUGAGAAAGAGCUGAGAACAUGGAAACUGAGACAGUGCUCUGAAGAAGUAGAAAUGUAGCACCCUGGUUUGGUACAUCACUGAGGACCCCAUCACUGAGGUACACAUCCCUUGGAGAAACACAGCAUUUCAACACAGUGCUUCCUGUAGUGGCCAGAUGAGUGACUAUAGCUUUCCACCUUGAAGGAUGAAGAUUAGCCUCACUGUAGGCCAGCUUACUCUCUCACCUCAAGAACAUGGAGUUAAACAAUGAAGAAAAUCAUGAGAUCCACCUCCUAGAGUAACGGAAAUAAAAACAAAAAUAAACAAAUGGGACCUAAUGAAACUUAAAAGCUUUUCCAAAGCAAAGGAAACUACAAUCAAGACGAAAAGACAACCCUCAGAAUGGGAGAAAAUAUUUGCAAACAAAUCAACGGACAAAGGAUUAAUCUCCAAAAUAUAUAAACAGCUCAUGCAGCUCAAUAUUAAAGAAACAAGCAACCCAAUCCAAAAAUGGGCAGAAGACCUAAAUAGACAUUUCUCCAAAGAAGACAUACAGAUGGCCAAGAAGCACAUGAAAAGCUGCUCAACAUCACUAAUUAUUAGAGAGCUGCAAAUCAAAACUACAAUGAGGUAUCACCUCACACCAGUUAGAAUGGGCAUCAUUAGAAAAUCUACAAACAACAAAUGCUGGAGAGGGUGUGGAGAAAAGGGAACCCUCUUGCACUGUUGGUGGGAAUAUAAACUCAUAUAGCCACUAUGGAGAACAGUAUGGAGGUUCCUUAAAAAACUAAAAAUAGAACUACCAUGCAACUCAGCAAUCCCAUUACUAGGCAUAUACCCAGAGAAAACCAUAAUUCAAAAAGACACAUGCACCCCAAUGUUCAUUGCAGCACUAUUUACAAUAGCCAGGUCAUGGAAGCAACCUAAAUGCCCAUCGACAGAUGAAUAGAUAAAGAAGAUGUGGCACAUAUAUACAAUGGAAUAUUACUCAGCCAUAAAAAGGAAUGAAAUUGGGUCAUUUGUAGAGACGUGGAUGGAUCUAGAGACUGUCAUACAGAGUGAAGCAAGUCAGAAAGAGAAAAACAAAUAUCGUAUAUUAACGCAUAUAUGUGGAACCUAGAAAAAUGGUACAGAUGAACUGGUUUGCAGGGUAGAAAUUGAGACACAGAUGUAGACAACAAACGUAUGGACAUCAA